AUACCCGCUCCGCGAGUGGUGGGGACUUUUACUGGGCUUAAAGCGCCCGUAGCCGGCUGGGUGUGUCCUCAGUUAAAUCCACAGGCCUAACCUGUGGGCUGCGGGGGAUACUACCCGGCUUGGGGGUGGGAGAGGGCGGCGGUAUUCCCGGGGUAGGGGUAAAAUCCACUGAUCCCAGGAGGACCACCAGUGGCGAAGGCGGCCGCCCAGAACACGCCCGACGGUGAGGGGCGAAAGCUGGGGGAGCAAACGGGAUUAGAAACCCUAGUAGUCC
rnacentral:rRNA from 1 species